rnacentral:rRNA from 1 species
UACAGAGACUGCAAGCGUUACUCGGAAUCACUGGGCGUAAAGGGAGCGCAGGCGGAACGGUGUGUCGGAUGUGAAACCCGGGGGCUCAACUCCCGGACUGCGUCUGAAACUGCCGUUCUAGGGACUCGGAGGGGCUAGUGGAAUUCCUGGUGGAGCAGUGAAAUGCGUAGAUAUCAGGAGGAACACCAACGGCGAAGGCAGCUGGCUGGACGAGAUCCGACGCUCAGGCUCGAAAGUAUGGGGAGCAAAAAGG